rnacentral:tRNA from 1 species
UAGGCCUUAGCUUAAUUAAAGUGUUUGGGUUGCAUUCAGAAGAUGUAUAUUAGAAUUAUACCUGUCUCA